AUCGAACGCUGGCGGCAGGCCUAACACAUGCAAGUCGUGCGAGCGGCGGACGGGUGAGUAAUUUAUGGGGAUCUGCCUCAUGGCGGGGGAUAACUACUGGAAAAGGUAGCUAAUCUCGCAUACCAUCCGCUGCACCCUUAUGGGCUUAGCUUGUAGGUGAGGUAACGGCUCACAUAGGCGACGAUACCUAGCUGGUCUGAGAGGAUGAUCAGCCACACUGGGACUGAGACACGGCCCAGACUCCUACGGGAGGCAGCAGUGGGGAAUAUUGGACAAUGGGCGCAAGCCUGAUGCAGCCAUGCCGCGUGUAUGAAGAAGGCCUUCGGGUUGUAAAGUACUUUCAGCGAGGAGGCGUUACUCGCAGAAGAAGCACCGGCUAACUCCGUGCCAGCAGCCGCGGUAAUUC
rnacentral:rRNA from 1 species